GCAGCGCGUGUUUCAAAACGAUAUUGGCAAAGCUGACGCCUUUAAGGCGCGCGGUGCGGAUAUAUUGCGCUGUCAUGACUUCAGCCAUGGAUGCACGGGUCAUCCUGGCGAUAUAGCCGAUGCCGUAUAGGGCAAUGGUGAGCACCGGCAGCAGGAAAUUUUCAAGCGUCGCA
rnacentral:ncRNA from 1 species